rnacentral:rRNA from 1 species
CUACGGGUCGCUCCAGUGGGGAAUAUUGGACAAUGGGGGAAACCCUGAUCCAGCAAUGCCGCGUGUGUGAAGAAGGCCUGCGGGUUGUAAAGCACUUUCGGUUGGGAGGACUGCUUCUAGCACUAAUAUUGUUGGAAGUUGACGUUACCUUCAGAAGAGGCACCGGCUAACUCCGUGCCAGCAGCCGCGGUAAUACGGAGGGUGCAAGCGUGAAUCGGAAUUACUGGGCGUAAAGCGCGCGUAGGCGGCUAGAUCAGUCGGGUGUGAAAGCCCCGGGCUUAACCUGGGAACUGCAUCCGAUACUGUCUAGCUUGAGUACAGGAGAGGAGAGUGGAAUUCCACAUGUAGCGGUGAAAUGCGUAGAUAUGUGGAGGAACACCAAUGGCGAAGGCAGCUCUCUGGCCUGAUACUGACGCUGAGGUGCGAAAGCGUGGGGAGCAAACAGGAUUAGAUACCUCUGUAGUC